rnacentral:lncRNA from 1 species
UCUCCCUUAUCUGAUUUGGGUGACACACACAUGGAUUCAAUCCAUGUGGGUGCACCCCAUCACUUGAUCGAACAGCAUUGGGUGGCGUCAAUAUUUGGUGCCCCUACAAAGCUAACCUAAUUCGAUCAAAUUCAAACUUGGAUGAACCAACAUUUGAAACUCAAUUGGAGCUUGUACUAAAUUGAUUAAAUCCUAUCUAAUAUGACCCACAAUUAAGAAGGAGAAAAUGGGUUUAAUCAUAUGCUAGCAUGAUUUUCUUAAAUCCAAAGCUAGGACUCAAUAGCUCCA